AGUGAGGAGUGGAUGCACAUCAUGGAGUGAGAUCAUGGUAGUGGUCAAUGAACGGAGCUUCAGCAAAAGGAGCUCCUGGGAUACAACCUUACAGAUACUCAAACCCUUCAUCCUUUUCUACAUGACGUCACUGUCCUGCAGGAAGUGCAGUGUGCAUGAAGGUUUGUGCAAGUCACUGAGACCAUGGUUACCCUGGAUCACCGGGCUGAGGGCUCAUUCCAACUCUGAAGAUUGCUGUUCUUCAUCUGAAAGUCUGUCAUGCUUCCAAACCUAUCAGCUCAACACUGGGUGGGUCCACAGAGCUCAGGCAAGUCUCAGCUGAGAUCAUCGCAACCCCAAAUGACCUGAGCCCUGGGUAUGCCACCUACCAAGAAGGUGGCAGCUUGGACACUUGUUUCCUGGGCCACAGGGGGCAGGAAGACAGGGUUGGUCUGUGGGACUCUGAAGCUGGCAUUUUAAAGAUGCUGCAGAGGGAAGUCCUGGCCAUGUUUGUUCCACCAUGGCAGGUAUGGUGGGGAGAACAGGAUGGCUCCUCCUGAGCAGAUCUAAGGAUCAGCAAGGGAGAGGUCUUCCCGGGAGGGCGUAGGAGCAUCGUUUAAUGAGGACGAGAGUGUGUGCUCCGGCCAGAGUGGACGGUAGGUGACUGAGGUGCUCCUCUCCAACUGGGUCAUCCUCACCAGGCUCUGUGAGUGGGAUCAUCUGAAGCUCAGUGUCCUCACUCUGGAAAUGACAACACUGCCUUCCUCGCCACCUCCAGGGUCCUUAUGGGACCCCUAGGAGUGAAGGUGAUUUGAAAGUGUGCUUUGUUCUGGCAACGAAGGCAGGGUUCUUCUAAGAGGUGGAUCGUUAGGACUGGAGGUGGGCAUGGCAGCCCUGCAUGCAGCAAGGUCGCCUGAAGCCACAGCAACCCCAGGGAAUUUCCUCUAAAUGAAACUGUGUGUCUAAAUGAAGUUUCUGUUUUAAAUCAGACAGUGACCUAAUUACUGCUGGAGUUUCUUGGAUGUUUCCCUGUAUACACUGGCAAAUUGGAGAAGAGACUGACACACUUGAGUUGCUUGGUAUUUAGAGCAAUUGACAACCCUGUGGAGCCAGGCCAAAGCUCUGAGCAUGAAUUAAGUCUGGUGCUCCCUGGCUCUGUGUCCUCGGGCGAGAGACAGCUGCUCCUAGCUUCAGCAUCCUCCAUGGAAAUGUGGAUGCAAGACCUGAGAUCCAGCAGAGAGAGGAGGCGGGCCUGUGGUAGCCCAUCUGUGGGUCCUGCAGGAAGGCUGGAGGGGCAGUCACUGGAAACCCACUAUGCCAGUCUUGAGCCAAUCCCCAGGACCAGAGCAUCCCAGGCACUGGUUGGCUUUGGUUUUGGAUCCUGCACUCUACUUCUGAAGCUAGUUGGUGGGGAGCAAGUCCCUGGGCUGAAGGGAAUUGGGCAGGAAGCUUUGGGGACAGAGUUCACAGGACCUGGCCUCAUUGACAUAGAUGUGAGCAGAGUACCUAUCCUAAAAUAAUCCUUUCUCUCUGUGGGGCUUAGGACCUCAACAUUUCAGCACCACUGUUGAAAUCUAGUUCCAAAUUCCGUUAUGGCCAAUGAAUGUACAGACUAGAUAAACUAGAGGUACCCAUUUCAUUAACCUUUAUUCAUAUUUCUCUCAUCUUCUCUAUACAGAAAACAACUAAGUAGCAUAAACAUGAACUAAUAACAGAUAAAAUAAAUGAAAAUAAAAAGUAUCCAGUCAGGGCAUAAACACUUUUCUUGUGGUCCUGUAGCAGGAUAAGCUGAACUCAAAUACCCCCAACUGAGCCUCUGUUCCUCCCCUUCCAAAUGGAAUUUGUCUGUGAGCCUCAAUCCUAACAUAAAAAAAAAUAAAACACCAUAUCAUUUAUGUUUUAAGCUCAAUAAGUGAUAAGAAAUCAGUGAGCAGCAUUUGCUGACCUGUGGCCACUUAACCACAAAUGUUCUUGCUUUCCUUCUCCCCAAGAGUGCAGCAGAGUUAAUAUUCCUGUUGUUAAAUACCAUUUAGUAAUUGUCUCUGCAUGGUACUGAGGGGCUGUUAGAAAACAAGUGACUCAAUCCAGCAAAUCCUUUUCCUCCUGAGUCCCAGGUGCAGUCCGUUGGAGAAGGCCGUGGGCAUGUCAGCGCCUGAGAGAAGAGAGCUUCUCUGUGGGAAAGGCUGAGGGUUCUUUCCUCACACCUGAAGAGUCAAUAUCCCCACUAGGGAUAAGUCUUCUCAAAGAAACAUCGAGACUCUUAAGUUUAACCUCACCAAAGCUGCACUGAUGGGCUUCCUGAGGGCCUGAUCACCUGGAGCCUGCCCUAACGUCACAGCGUGUCCUUGCAGAAUUUGAUGUGGAGAAAAGACCUAGAAAAAAUUAAAGACAACUCAUGCUGUGAGCCUGGAUCCCAGCUCGGACCAUUGAGUUCCAGAGCUCCUGUUCUUAAUCUCUAAUCCAAGUCCUUGUCAAACGUCAGGAUCUGAGGAUUCUGGGGGUUGGGAAAUAUGUGAUGUCUACCUGCGGGAAUCUCGCAGGCCAGUGUAUAACAUGAUAAAACAAUACUAUGUGUGUCAUUACAAAUUGUGGAAAUGAUUUGCAGAGAAAAAUUUAAUGUGAGGAGAAUAAUAAUUUCUGGAGAACUCAGAGGAAAAGGAUAAACUGAUUUUGUUAACUUUUUUUUGAGGGAGGCGCUCACUCUCUAGUUCAGGCUGGGCUUGAACUCAC